CCACUGCUAUCGGGGUUUGAUUAAGCCAUGCGAGUCGAGAGGGUUUCGGCCCUCGGCGAACUGCUCGUAACACGUGGAUAAUCUACCCUCGGGGAGGGAGGAUACUCCCGGGAAACGUGGGGUUAAGUACUCCAUAGCAACGAUGCACUGGAAGUCAUCGUUGCAAAAGAUCCGUCGCCCCAGGAUGAGUCGCGUCCGAUUAGGUAGUUGUGGGGUUACUGCCCACAAGCCGAUAAUCGGUACGGGUUGUGGGAGCAAGAGCCAGGAGAGGAUUCUGAGCACGAAUCCAGGCCCUACGGGCGCAGCAGGCGCGAUG
rnacentral:rRNA from 1 species